AGAACUACACAACUUUUAAUGCUGACAAUGGAGCAACUGGAAUAGUUAGAGAUAGUGUCUAUCUUGGUUCAAUCAUCAAUCCAAAUGGAGACUGCAGCCAGGAAAUCAGAAGACAACAGAGACUAGGAAGGGCAUCAAUCCAGAAACUAGAUUGGAUUUCCCCAAGCCAGUUGCUAAAGGGCACUUUUCUGGAGGACCCACUUUGGGGUUAUAUAACUUGGAUGUCUGAACACUAAUCUUCACCAAGCUUGGAGGGAUUGUAGUGGGGAGUCAUUAGAAGCUUGCCUGUAAUGUUGGUGUCUCUAGGUGCCUUGGGGGGGUGACUUUCUGGGGGGGCUCCCUUUGGGUUUAGAAUUUGAAUGUCCAAAACUCAAACUUCACCAAACCAAACCUAGAAGAUUUGUAGAGGGGAGUCAGGGGAAGCUUCUCUGUGAAUCUGGUGUCUUUAGGAGGUUGGGGACCAUUUCAUAGGGUUUUAAAUUCUAAAAUGAAUUGACAAAUCAGUUUGUCAGUUCAUCAGAGAAAAAUUGUAAAUUCAGAAUUUGUCAAUCUUGACAAAUUACAAAUCAAAAUGAAUUACCAUUUUUCUGAUUUGUGCCCGUUUCCACAAGAUUGUUCUGCAUGUGUCAUGUGUGAUAACCCUUCUCUUUUGCCUCCAUGACUUGUUGAUUUUGUCCUCUACUCUCUUUCCUUUCCUUUUCCUUUCCUUUCCUUUCCUUUCCUAUGUUUUCCUUUUCUUUUCUUCCUCCCUCCCUCCCUUCGCAGCAAAUGCCAUCUGGUGUCACAGAUGCCCAAAGUCAGAGAGCUGUCUAGAACCACCAGGAUUCUGUUGGGCAGACGAGGGAGCUGGCUGUUACACAGGGAAUCUCUACAUUGGGAAUACAAAGAUUCAGUCUUUUGCUGGUUGUUUCCAGGACUGCAAAAGUGGGAAAUCCAAGUAUGGUGGCAGAGCUGACCUAUCAAAAACACAUGUUAUUUUGCCACCUGAGGACAAAAUGAUCAUCUUCCCUCCAGCAAAAGCCGAUGAGUCCAGUUUAGCAGGGUGGGUUUCAGUCUGAACUUCGCAGGGAGCUAUCCAAGGUGUUUAACCUAUCUUGGGUAAAGUUUGGACUAAAUCUCGGAGUGGAUUUACUGUCUUCAUGGAAUCAGCAUCCUCAGCUUCCACUGCACCCUUCCAUGUUAUGUACAAAAGGAAAUCUGCCAUUGGGGUUGAAAGGAAAGUUGCUAUAUUUGUGACUCAGUUUUAGGCAGUCUUGACACGACAAGGUCACUCAUGGAGGAAUUUUAAAGCCUCACCAGUUUCCUUCCCUCUGGCAUAUAGUGAAAUAGAGAGCUCACUUAACCCAAUACAGUUUAUGUAACU
rnacentral:lncRNA from 1 species